UGUCUCUGUUCUGAUAUUCUGUAUUUUAUGAAGCAAUCCAAAAGUGGAGGGAAUAUUUUAGAUCCUGAAAACACGUCCCAUUCUCACCAAUAAGACCAAUCCUCGGUGACCCAGAAAAAAGCACCACAGUGUGUUCUUGGGGAUUCUCACAAGUUUAAAGUAAAAUCUAUGGAAAUUUGUGUUUGCCUUCUGUCCACAAGAGUAUCACAUUUUUUUUUCCACCAUAAAAAGCUCUUUGCUGAUGAAUAGGGAGAAAUAUGGCCACUUUUCUAUGAAAGAAGGGGAAAAAAGGAAUAUAUUUCAUAGAUUGCUGAAGUCCACACUUUACCCAGGAAACAUGAGAGUUUAAAGUUUUGUGGGAACAAACACAGAAAUGUUUCUAAAUUGAAGUAAAAUUAUCCAUAACUUUUAUGUUACGAGCGUAUGGAGCCAUUUCCAAAAAUAAGCUCUUUUUUAUGUGAUGGGCGACACAAGUUCCAAACUGUUAUUUGUCUUCAUAUAUCUGGAUAUAUCCUGUUGGCGCCUUAUAUCAGAAGGAGAGACUGAAGAACCACAAGACACAGGGACUACAUGGGACUGAAGAGUCUUUGGACAUUUCAAGCCCCUUCAGGAGAAAGCGCCGUGGAGAUUGAGAAACUGAGCUUCAGAGACAUUAAUUGGCUGCUCAAUGUUAUCUCUUAGAAUGAGAGUUCAAAUUCCAUGUUUCUCCUGAAGAAUAUGUUUUCUACUAUAACAAGCUGCCCCUCAAAUCAAGAAUAACUCGUCUAGGAUGAUAAUUAUAGCUCACAUAGAAAGCUUACAACUUUGAAAAACAAUUUGCCCAAAGCAACUUUAUGAGGCAAAUAGGUCUUUUCCUGGUCUUUUCCAGGACUUUUCCUGCUAUAUCAAUCUUUCCAUUAAGCUAAUCAAGAAAAAGUGAUUGAACAAUGUAUAUUUGUCCAAAUGGAUCUACAUUUUUUUAGAAUUUGCUAAUUUUGUUCAUUGCUCUUUUUUUCACCUAAAAAUAGACAACAUAAACUAACUCAAAAUGAUAGACUUACUGCUGAGAUAUUGCAGAGAAUGCUAUUCUUUCAUAAGCUUGACCCAGGAAUCUUUUUGGCUUAAUUGUUUGAAUUUCAAAUGCCUGAGUACAUACUUUCCAGUUUUGUUUUUAGUGACUGUAACUGAAAAUCUAUUAAUUCAUCACAUGGUCAUCAUCAUGGAUAUUGAGUCUCAUAGUAUAUAAAUGCACCUGGAGAAAUAGAAAGGGGGAAGAGUUAGGAUAAUGUUGCAGUGACCUUAAGGCUUCAAUAAAAACAAAACAAACAAACAAAAAAAAAACUCCUUGAUAGAAAAAGCUUGUCUGUGCUUUAUUUGCUUGCAUUUCCCCUUAUUUUUCAGCAAAAUACUGUACUUCUAUAGUUCAAUAAUUUGUAAUUUGCUCUAUGUAGUUAGUCCCUCCAUUGAUACAGAUUUCAACUUCUCUGUAAAUUAUUAGGAUGUUUUUGGAGAUUUCUGUGGCCUCCAAAAUCACUCCCAUGGAGCCAUCUGCAUUAUGAGUCUCCCAGGCUUAGGCAAACUGCUUCUUGGGUUUCAGCAUCACUGGGUGCCCGUUAGAAUCUUCUCUAGGAUAUUAGGUUCUGCCGGGAUUUAUGUUCCAAAGGCUUUGCCUUUGAGACUCCUAAGCCAUCCAUGCAAUAAAAUGAAACUUUGGAGAACUUCAAUCAAUCAAAGAAAAAAAGAAUAAAAGGAUAGCAUUUCAAUUUUAAGCUGCUAUGGCCAUAAAGAGAGACAGCAUAGCAUAGUGGAUAGAGAUCCAGCUUCAGCAUCAUAAAGAGUCCUGCCACUAAUGCCUAUUAUCUUUAUGACUCAGUGCCCCAGAAAAUUCUUUAAGAAUAUAGGGGGUUUUAAGGUAUUGGGAUAGAAUAUUUCCUUUUUAAGAGUUCCCACCAGUGCUGAAAUUGCAAAUCCCUUCCUCUCUUAUAAGAUCCAAUGUUUCAUUAUUCAGCAAAGUCCCCUUGAUAAAGUUAAUGAAUUAUUUCUACACAUUUGUUCUUUUUCUUUUUACCACAGACCUUUAAGGUAAAUGCCACAAGUGUUACCUGAGCCAGCAUUUUAUAAUUUACCAUUAUGAUCACCUAUUUUUUUUCCAGUGAUCUUUCACUUGAAUACCUAAAGACUCCUCUUUUAGGACACCACACUUAUAAUAAAUGCUGAACCAGAUUUUUCUUCAAUGAAAUGUAAAGAAUUGCUUAUAAAAGAGAAAAAGGUAGUGUCAAUAGAGGACUAAGAAUAAAGAAAUUUGCGUCAAGAAAUUGUCAGUCUCUUUUCUCUAACUACUUCUUUAGUCAGAUCUCAUUUCUUAUUUCUUCCUAGAGGACACAGAACAGCUGAUCUUGGAAGGAUUGUUUAUGGUUGGUUUUGUAUGUAUUUUGUUUUUACUUAGUGCUUGUGUUGCAUCUCUAUCCCCAUCUGCCAAUAGAAUGUAAACUUCUUGAGAUCUGGUACUUUUAUUUUUGUCUUUGUAUCUAUCCUUUGUCCUUUGCACAUGACAAGUAAUA